rnacentral:rRNA from 1 species
CUCAGGACGAACGCUGGCGGCGUGCUUAACACAUGCAAGUCGAACGGUAAGGCCCUUCGGGGUACACGAGUGACGAACGGGUGAGUAACACGUGGGUGAUCUGCCCUGCACUUCGGGAUAAGCCUGGGAAACUGGGUCUAAUACCGGAUAGGACUCCUGGCUUCAUGGUUGGGGGUGUAAAGCUUUUGCGGUGUGGGAUGGGCCCGCGGCCUAUCAGCUUGUUGGUGGGGUAAUGGCCUACCAAGGCGACGACGGGUAGCCGGCCUGAGAGGGUGACCGGCCACACUGGGACUGAGAUACGGCCCAGACUCCUACGGGAGGCAGCAGUGGGGAAUAUUGCACAAUGGGCGCAAGCCUGAUGCAGCGACGCCGCGUGAGGGAUGGCGGCCUUCGGGUUGUAAACCUCUUUCAAUAGGGACGAAGCGCAAGUGACGGUACCUAUAGAAGAAGGACCGGCCAACUACGUG